rnacentral:lncRNA from 1 species
CUUUGCUCAGGUAUAUAUGUUAUAUACUGUUCCCCAGGUUGCCCAGCUACCACUGUAGCAAGGGACACAUGCAAGGAGCUAUUUAUGACCAAAGAAUAUACAUGAAAGGAUACAUAUAGAAGGAUCACAUGUAGUCAUGGAAAUGUAUGAUCACACACACACAGAAAAUGAGUAUGGCUAAGGAACACAGAUAGCUAGAACAACUCAUGCUUCCAACACUCCAAAGCCAGGACUGCCUUUUGGUGAUGGUACUAUGCUGCUCCUUCACAGAUGCUCCUACUGUACUGCUCUCUGCUGACCUGAUCUCUGUUGGGGUAGUGGAGAUAGCUCACUGCUGUCAUCUAUAGGGUCCAGAUUCUUACCAUAUUCUCAGCUGGAUAAAGAAAGUAGUCCGUCCCUGGCUCAAGCCACCAAUUCUGACCCUACCCUAUGGGAACCUAUUUUGGACAUCAAAAGUUGGGGAAAAGCUACUGUUUCCUUCUCCUGUCGUUUUUGGUUGGGAACUCUGAAGAGAAGGGCUCUGGGAUGCUGGGACAACAGAGGAAGGUGCUGGAUGCAUCAGAAAAAAUUUCCAUCGAUUAUUGGACUCUACGUUCUCUGGAUGAUUGGACGUGAAGUGGCUGCUGUCUCCACUGUAAUACUGUAUCACAUGUGGCAGAGAGGUAAAAAAAGGAUGGGAAAAGAACCUCAGAUUUGGCAGUUAAGAAAUCACUGACUGUCUUGGAGAGAACAGUUUAGGUGAGUGGUGAAGUAGAAGACUGUUGCAAGCAGUAGAGAAUAAAGCAGAAAGGGAAAUGGAAUCA